rnacentral:tRNA from 1 species
GAGGAUGUAGCUCACUGUGGUAAAGCACAUGCCUAGCAUAUGGGGUGCCCUGGGUUCAAUCCCCAGCAUGGUCA